UGGACUCUGAGGCUUACCCAAUAUUUGUCCCUUUGUUUCAUUCUACAUGGAGAUUUUUUCUUGUGUGACUCCAUGCUGUCUUAGUCACAGUUCAACUUCAUAUUAAAAAAUAUUUCUGCUUUGUGCUUCAAAAGCACUAUAUAAACAUGUUUCUCCUAAAAGACAGACAUGGUAGUAUUUGUCUUUUCAUUACACCCUAAGUAUUUUCAGAACAAAAGAGAGAAAAAGUAAAAGGAAAAUAAUGUUCUCUUCCAGAUACUAAAAGUCUCCACAGAAUUUCAGGUGCAUUUAUUUGGAGGUAAUUCAAUAAAUUACACUAACAAAUAGGUUUUGAAAUACGUAGUGUCUUUCUUUUUUCUUUUUUCAACAUGCUCAUCUGAGAAAGAUUUUCAGCCAUUGUGAUAUCUGAGACAGAGUAGAGAUAUAAACUGCACAUUAGCAGAAUUUGGAGACUGUUUUUGUCAACAGCCUCCUUUCCAGAUACAUGAUAUUAUGGACUCCUGGAAACUGCCAGUGGUGAUCACAUUAAGGAAACAUAAAAUAUCGCUAGAAGGUCAUUCUUCCUCAAGCAGUCCUCUAAGAAAUUACAGUGCCUUUGAAGCCAGCUUCACUACCUACCUGAUCCAAUCAAUACAAUUGAUCUAACAUGCUGUUCAGCGAUAUGUAGACUCAAAAUGAAAAGAAUUACUUCGGAUUUUUUUUUUCUACACUGCCAUGCAGAAACACUGUUGAAUUUCUUCCGCAGAUGGGAUGACAGGCGAGACACCCAGGCUUUAGUGCACACCUUGUUUUUGUACUGAGCCCCCAAUUUCAGAAGGUUUGGCUAUCACUUAGGCCUUUCACAUUAGUUUUGAGGUUAGAGUGGAACUGAGAUGUUCAAGAACAACACAAAGGAAACUAAGUUUUCUGAAGACUGUGUCACCUCAUGAGACUUUGUCAGAGAUCCUGAAGAACAAUGUGCAUGGAGAGGACUGUGGGCUUGCUGGUGUGUUGUGGCCAACCAGCACAACCUACCUGAUGCAAUUGGGAAUAACAACAAUUCAUAUGUGAUACUGUAGAAAUGCAGAAGCACGUAUUUUUUAUCAGACUUGGUUGAAAUUAAAUAUUUAAAUUUAGAUGUGUAUGAGACAUAUAAAAGUAACUGUAGCAUAUGUUCAUUUUCAUAUGAACAGUUAAUGACCAAGGAGCAUGUGAGAAACUGAAAAGCAGUAGGCAGUCCUGGCUUGAAAUACUGCCACGGAAAAGAAGUGACCCAGGUACAUUGCCUCCUCUUAAACCACACUUUGCUGAUGAGUCUCAUCUAAAUCAAAGGAGAAAGAAAAGCUAUUUGUGGUAACAUCUAUAAAAUACUAAGAUGUCUCCGGAUACUCAGAAAGAUAUGAGCUGUGCUUCAAGGACUCUGCAAACUGAAGUUAACCACAGACAAAGAAAAAUGCUGGAAGAAAGGAAUGAGGUCCGGGGAUUAAUUCUGUCUUGCUCAACACUAUGCCUAAUCAAACGCACUAAAGCAAGCGACCUCAACAAGAAAUUACAUUUUACCUCUAAUGUUAAAAAUGAAGCAACAAUUCUCAACCCUUUUUCUUCUAAGAAAACAUAGCCACUGCAAUGUGAAUUAAAGGAUAAGUGGCAGUUUUCCAGGCCUUCUGCAUUUACAUAGGGUGCUUCAUUAUGAACUGAUUUUAAUCAGUAUCCAGAUUUACCAUCCCCCAAACUGUGUGUAGGAGGUCUCUUCAGACGCAAGGAGCCUUCACAGGCCCCUAAGGGCCUUCUUUAUUGAUUUCUCAGGCCUCCAUCUGUUUCGUAGACAGUCAGGCUGUUAUGGGAUGUUUUUUGUUGCAGCUGUAAUGCACAAAAGAAGCUUCAUGAUUGUCAUUCUAAGUGUGAUUUAGAGGGUGGGAUGGGAGAUACUACCAGCUCUACUCCAAACCUAGUUUGGUUUAAUAUGAACAUUUGUAACUGGCAAAUCUCAGUCACCGUUACUGGGAAAGGUAUGAUGUGGCCAUACUGCUUCCCAUCUCUCUGUGUCCUGCCCUUCCUCGGUAUUCCCCAUAACCAGCUUCCCAACUGACAUUAGAGAAGAGGACCCCUGGGGUCUUAUUUUUGGGCCAGAAGUGUCUUGGACAUGUGGAGAAAUAAAUAAAACUUUAAUUGCUCUCUGUCUUUACCUGCUGUCGUAAAUUUUCACAGCAAGGUUGGAUUCAUGAAAGCCAGAAUGUUUCUUCCCAAUCACCCAUAGAAUUAUGCCAUCAGGAUGAAUAAAUUUAUCAAGUUUAUAAAACCAUGCAUUGACUCUGUCACAAAGGGUGUAGGGAAUAGAAGAACACGGUCAGAGUCAGCUACCAGACAAAUAACUGUCUGGACUUAAUUUACUCUAAUAGGAGAAAGUGAUUUGAAACACAGAGUCUGAAUUCAGUUUCAAUACCUUCAAACAUAGAUGUAUUAUCUUCUUGUAAAUAUGGUGAAUGUAUUUGAGUGAUUAUCUCUAUAUGCACCAAUAUGAUGUCACCUGCAAUUCCCAUGGUGGCCGAUCUAAAGUCCACUAAAAUCAAAAGGAGACUUUGUAUUGCUUUCAUUGAUCUAUGAAUCAGACCUCCAAAGAAUAAUAGUGAGGUGAAUUUUUAAAGUUCUGAAUUACGUCUCAUAUUGGACAAUCAUUUAAAAGUAAACAUGUUUAUCCCAAUUGCACAGAAGCCUGCCUUCUAGUGAUUUCUAGAAAUCAUUCUGAGGUCCUGGAAGUAAUGCUAUGAUUUAAGAUUCAGUUCAUUUUCAUUUUGCCUGGAUUGACCUGUAUCAAAGAUUCUGACAUUAGAGCUGUUUUUAUAGCAUUUCUGUUUACAGGUUAUCAAACAUGCAAUUCAAAUUAUCCUGGACUCAUCGGCAAAAUUCACAGGUAUUUGAUAAUCCCAACCUUGUGGGAAUAUCUAUGAAGUCUUUUGAAUAAUUUGCUAAAAAAAAGCAGGAGCAUUUCCAUUCUCAGACUAAUUUGCCUGCUGUUACAGAUGAGAAGUUUUCUGACAUAUAUUGAUCAGAAAACAAAAGAACUAGGAUAAGUAAGUGCAUAAAUAAGAAGUAGAUAUAAAUAAGUAAAUAUUAAUGAAAUAUGAUGGGAAGUGCCAUGCUUUGAUCUAGACAACCCAUAUAAUAAUCAGAUAAAGAAGAAAUACAAUUGCAAAAAAUCAGGAAGAAACAGGAACUGUGGCUUAGGUCCUCAGAGAUACUUAAGCAUGUAAGCUGUCUGCUCUGUAGCCAUUACCUGGGUAUUUUCCUAAGAUGUAGAGUAGGGUAAUUGGCUCCCCAAAGCCCAGAGCUCUACCUUAAGGAAGAGUCUCACUGGUUCUGGGACAGCCUUCUUACAAAAAAAAGAAAGUUUAAUUAAUUGCAACAGUGCCCAUUUUCUUGAAAACACUCAAAGACUUUGCCAAUUUGGGUUCGUUGCAUGACUCCUAAACCUUCUUCUGGUGGGGGGGGGGGAGAUGAAAGCAUCCUGAGCUAUGUAAGUAUCAAGUCCCUGCUGCAGCAAAGGGCACUGACAUGCCCAACAUCUUGUCCCAUGUGGACUGCUCUAGACACUGGACAGUUGUCCAGGUUUGGGUUAAGUAUCCCAUAUCAUAUACAUUUUGAAGUAUUCAUUGACAACUGUUUCUGGUCAACUAGCUGCUAAAAUGUCAAAACCACAUCCCUUUCUUCUCCAUUUCACCCUUUUCAGGUGAGAUUGGUCUACUUACCAGAUGUCCAAUUCCCCAACUACUGUUAGUGGGGAUCCUGGAAAUAUAAUAAGGUACAAGAACUUGACAGCAGGAGCCAUGAGAUUUAGUGAUUGAAAUGCCUAAAUGCUUUUGAACAACUCAUCUGUGUACAUCUGUUACUAGGGACAAACUUUUGGGAAAAACGAAACAAACCAACCAACCAACGAACCAACAACCAAGAUUUUUUUCUCCAAGAAAGUUCUAAGAUAUUAAAUUUUUCAACCACACAGAAGGGAAGCAUUGAGAAUUUACAGAGCUCAUAGCUGCAUUGUCUGCUGCAGAAAGCUAAGACAAAUGAAAUGCUGUCUAAAAAAGACUGGAUAAACCAAUACCCAUUCUAAGAGUAUAUUAAUAGAAAUUAAUAGUAUAUUCUGUGGUAUUAACAGGUAGGACUUGAAUCAUGAAGGUCAGGCUAGUAGCAUAAAAUUCAGCGGGAAGCAAUCUGGAACUUUCCUGAGCAAAAGCUGAGUAAGAAAUGAGUAAAACCCGCGGAAGAGCUGGAGACUAGAAAGAAAUUGCAUCUGCACAUAUACCACACUGUAUAAUUGAUCUGUGGAAGCCAUCAUCAUUACCAUCCUGCUAUUUUUGGCUACUGCCAGAGGCAGGAUGCUAAAGAGAGUUUAGUUUCCUAGGAUGUGGGCUCAGAUCUAAAGACUAUUGGGAAUAGUAGCUCCAUGGCAGAAGCAAAAAAAGCCCAUUUGACUUAAGAAGAGCUAUUGGUGAGAGAAUGACUCAACAUGUGCCUAAAACAUGCUUUUAUUUCCUAUCUUCCUUGCCUAAGUGUUAUGUUAUUUAGCAGCACCUUUCUGUGACAAACAGGUCUGAUAAACAUGAUACAGUGGUAAAACUGGAAGAGGGAAAAAAAAUACUGAAAGUCUGCUUCCACUUAAACUGCCAUCUUAGAAGUCAGUGUCAAAAGCCAUAGAUGGUCUUAGAUUGAGCAGUGUUGGUGAACAACACUGAAGAACCAGUGAACAACAGGAAGGGUUUAAUCCAUUGCACUUGGUAGUAUUUUUCUUUGAGAGUAGAGUACCUACUUAUUUUCUUAAGAAAAUAAAGGAACUGGUGAUUUAUAAACACUAAAAAACCCCCAAACAAACUAACAAACAAAAACAAACAAACAAAUACAAACAAAAAAACCCCGAAAGAAAACAAACAAGGGAGUGUCAGUGCUACGUUUUUUCCAAGCAGCAGGCAAAAUCAAGGUGUGUCAAAGGGGUAAAUGUCACACUCACCUAAUGCCCAAUAUGACUGAAAGCAAAAAGGCUGCAUCAAGUACAAUUCUGGCCUCUUAUGCCUCUGGUGAAGGUCUCCAGGUAUCCAACUUUGAGAUUGCAUGGGUUCUGCUGACUGCAAUUACUGCUGAGACUCCAGCAAUAUUAUAUGUUAUAUAUCAAAUGUGUGACAUUUUCCUACUGCUCUGUUGGAAUUUCUCUGAUUUUGGAGUCUAUUAUAAA